GGCUCGCAGUAUAGUUGCAUGUGUUUCGUGUCACACAUCAGUUGUUUGUUUAAAUACAAAAAAAAAAAGUAAAUGCAUUAUCAGUACUAAUCACUAUCAAUAAAAUAAUCAUAUGAUUACGUAAGUUUAUCUUAUUACAGUUAAAUCAAUAAAAAAUAAUUUACAAAAUCUUGUAAUUUAUUUUUUUAAUCAUGGUGUCAUUUCUGAGCACAAUCAGUGAUUAGUGAACAUAUACUCACAAAUAUACACAUGUAUAUUGACACAUAUAUAUUCCGCACAUAAAAAACGACAUUCAAACAUGGCUGCUGCAGCGGCUGCCGCGCUUCUCGAUGAAUUGAUGGGAAGAAAUCGUAAUGUUUUACCAAACGAAAAACCUAAAGAACUCAAUUGGGAAGAUCCUGAGUUUUGCAAACUCUACUUAGUCAAAUUUUGUCCACAUGAUUUAUUUGUGAAUACAAGAGCUGAUUUAGGUGCAUGUUCCCGUGUACACGACGAUGAAGCACGUGAACUUUAUGAAAAAGCGCAAUACUCAUAUAGAAAACAGCAAUAUGAAGAUGAAUUCAUACGCUUUUGUCAAAGCAUGUUAAAUGAAGUGGAAAGGAAAAUUGUAAAAGGCAAACAGAGGCUAGCACUUAUUGGAAAAACUGAAGCGCCGACACUAACUCCAGCACAAACGCAAAGAAAUGAAGAACAAAUCGCGCUUUUAACAGAAAAAAUUAACAAAUUAGUCGAAGAGGCUGAGCAGAGUGGUAUUCAGGGUAAUGUUGAACAGGCACAAGGAUUAAUGAGACUCUGUGAUCAAUUGAAGGAAGAACGUGAGACGCUUAGGAAAUCCAAUGACAACAGUCAUUACAAUCAGACGGCGGAGUUGGCAGCUGCACAAGAAAAACAAAUGGAAGUAUGUGACGUAUGUGGAGCAUUUUUAAUUGUCGGUGACGCACAACAACGUAUUGACGAUCAUCUUAUGGGCAAACAGCACGUCGGAUAUGCUAGAUUAAAAACAGCUCUCCAAGAAAUAAUGGCUAAACGUGAAAAGGCGAGAGAUGAAAAAGAACAAAAAAGAGAUGAAGAUCGUAAACAACGUGCUCGUGCUAAUGACGAAAUUGAAAGGAGACGACGUGAUGGAGAUAGAGAACGUGAUCGUGAGCGAGAUCGUGAUCGUGAUCGUGAUCGUGAUCGUGAAAGAGAUAAACGUCGUAGACGUGAUGAAGAAAAAAAUCGGCAUGAUUCACACAGAAAUUCUAACUACAGAAGUAGAAGUCAAUCACGCGAUCACCAUGAUCGUCAUCGAGAAGAAGAUUAUCGUCGUCAUAAUCGAGACAGAGGAAACCGAGAUCAUAGAAAUUCCAACAGUCACAAUCGUCGCCGUCACCGGUCAAGAAGUCGAAGUCACAAGUAACAAUUCUUGAUUGGUUAGUGAGUGAGCAAUGAUCCAGGUAUGCACUAUACAAUUAAAUAUUAACGUGUCAAUUACUGUGCAGGUAUUGAAAAUAUAAUAAGGUGAGUUUAAUUAGCUCUGCCACGUAAAUGAACAUUACUAUUUGAUUGUUCAAAAUAAAUAAACGUUUCCAAAUUUUGUAAUAAAAAACAAAAUUGCAAUAAUAUAAAAAAAAAAAAAAAAAAACAAGAUCAAAUUGUUUGUAACUGAAAUCGUUGGUAAUUCAGCGUUUAAUAUUAUUUUUAUUACACGAUUACGGAAACAAAUACGACUAUACGUAAUAUACUGCGCGUUUUAAAUGAAUAAAAUAACGCGGUAAAUAAUUAAUGAUUGAUGUAGAUUAAAGAUAAUACUUAGUUUAUUAUAAAUACAUAAAUGAUACGAGCAAGUUAGGAGAAGGUAUACCUACACUUGCUUUAUUAUUGCAAUAGGAAUAUUAUUUAAAGUUACUUUUAUUAAUUAAUAAUUUAACGUAAAAAAACAAUAGUUGAAAAAAUAAAAAAAAAUUCAAAAAAGUUAGUGGUUUAGUGAAGGAAAUGAGUGCCUACUACAGUAGAUCUGCUUCAGCAGUGCCCUGUGUGACUAGCUUCUGCCACGCAUUUAAUGAGAAUUUGACCAGCCGGAGGAUUUGACUUCACUUAAUGAAUCAUGCGAGUUAUCAACGUGAAAUAUCUUUUAAGGUAAAGAUUUUAUAUAAUCUUGAGAUUGGCGAAAAG
rnacentral:misc_RNA from 1 species